rnacentral:rRNA from 1 species
UGGGGAAUAUUGGACAAUGGGGGCAACCCUGAUCCAGCCAUGCCGCGUGAGUGAUGAAGGCCCUAGGGUUGUAAAGCUCUUUCGCCUGGGAAGAUAAUGACGGUACCAGGAGAAGAAGCCCCGGCUAACUUCGUGCCAGCAGCCGCGGUAAUACGAAGGGGGCUAGCGUUGUUCGGAAUUACUGGGCGUAAAGCGCACGUAGGCGGAUCAUUAAGUCGGGGGUGAAAGCCCGGGGCUCAACCUCGGAAUAGCCUUCGAUACUGGUGGUCUUGAGUCCGAGAGAGGUGAGUGGAACUCCGAGUGUAGAGGUGAAAUUCGUAGAUAUUCGGAAGAACACCAGUGGCGAAGGCGGCUCACUGGCUCGGUACUGACGCUGAGGUGCGAAAGCGUGGGGAGCAAACA